AACGAACGCUGGCGGCAUGCCUAACACAUGCAAGUCGAACGACACCUUCGGGUCUAGUGGCGCACGGGUGCGUAACGCGUGGGAACCUGCCCUUAGGUUCGGAAUAACUCCCCGAAAGGGGUGCUAAUCCCGGAUACUGUCUUCGGACCAAAGAUUUAUCGCCUUUGGAUGGGCCCGCGUUGGAUUAGCUAUUGGGUAGGGUAACAUCCUACCAGGGCUACGAUCCAUAGCUGGUCUGAUAGGAUGGUCAGCCACACUGGGACUGCGACACGGCCCAGACUCCUACGGGAGGCAGCAAUGGGGAAUAUUAGACAAUGGGCGAAAGCCUGAUCCAGCAAUGCCGCGUGAGUGAUGAAGGCCUUAGGGUUGUAAAGCACUUUUAACCGGGAUGAUAAUGACAGUACCGGGAGAAUAAGCUCCGGCUAACUCCGUG
rnacentral:rRNA from 1 species